rnacentral:rRNA from 1 species
CCUACGGGAGGCAGCAGUGAGGAAUAUUGGUCAAUGGGCGGAAGCCUGAACCAGCCAAGUCGCGUGAGGGAAGAAGGCCCUGCGGGUCGCAGACCUCUUUGGACGGGGAGCAAGGCCGCCGACGUGUCGGCGGAAGGAGAGUACCCGUAGAACAAGCAUCGGCUAACUCCGUGCCAGCAGCCGCGGUAAUACGUAGGGGGCAAGCGUUAUCCGGAUUUACUGGGUGUAAAGGGAGCGUAGACGGUGCGCCAAGUCUGGAGUGAAUUGCCGCAGCUUAACUGCGGAACUGCUUUGGAAACUGGCGA